UCCUACUUGUCUUAAUUUCUCUGUUCUUCUGCAACUGAGUCUGCAAGCUGAAGAUGCUUUAAUCUGCAGGGCAGAAAACGGGCAACCAGCUUUUCACUUCACUUCACUGGUUCCCAUUCUAGAGACAGUGAUACAAAGACAGUGAAUUGCGACUACAGUGUGAGAAUGAGAAAGAAAGAAAGAAAGGAUUGUGUCAGAAUGAGCCUGUAAUUCACACCUGCUGCAUUUCAGCAUCUUUGUAGUAUGUUGCAAAAUCACAGAAAAAAACAUAUUUUUUGCUCAGUUUUCCUUAUUCUUUUCUGCUGAAUUUUGGUCUUGUUUAUCUUACCCACACUGCUGAUGUAUCCAGGGCUGGAAACAGGUUGUCAGUGAUUUACUGGAAAUUGCACUUCUUGCAGUGACAUAGUUGCAAAAGCAGCUUUGGGGAAGCAAUUGGAUUGCAUUGGCUGGCUCUGAGACCCAAACUCCUGAAGAGUGAGAGGCCUGGGUUUAUUUUGAGGCUCUAUUGAGGAGCAGGAAAGCAGAUGAAGUCUUGCUUAUUGCUUCUGAGACCUAAGGAGGGAACAAUGACUGGAUAUGUUCAAAACUCAGUUCUUCUCACAGGCCUGCAGGGACAACUGUCCAUCCAUUUGUGAUACUGUAAUCUGACAGACCCUCAGCCUUUCCAUCACAAGGAUAGAAGGAAACACUUAAAAGAAUAAGGACAAGAAGUGGGUUUAUACUUCAGCUUUAGAGGAGCAGGUUGCACUGCAACAGUUGCACACUUCAAUGGGAGCACCUACAGCCACUUCUCAAAAUGAGACAGUACAAGUAUAUAUAUAUGGAUAGGAGUGCAUUACUUCAGCUGUCCUACUGAAAGUUUUACAUCUGAUUAUUUGAUUAUGAAAGUAAACUCUCCCACAUAGAAGAGAAUGCUAGCAAUCUUGUUCUGGUAAGAGAUAUUUAUACAGCAUGACCAAGUCACUUAAACAUAAUGGGGCCAUGUGCUUACCCUCGUUUCUCAUGACUUGCCCACUGCUUAAGGUCUGUCAGCACAUGUAGAUAUUCACUGUUCUGUAUGGGGCCAGUGCUACUUCAAAGUAACUUCUUUGACUUAUAUGGAUACUCUGUGAAUUUAACAACAAUAAAUUGAGAAUCUAUUCAGUUAUUAUUUGAAAACAGAACUUUCAAUUCAGAGUUUCCUGUUCUAGUCGAUAACGUAUCAUCAUAGGAUUAGCAUACUGGAUUUGGAAAGCGUUGAGCAGAAAGAGUCCUGAGCAGAGAAGAGGCUGUAAAACUACUAAGAGGCGUCUGGGCGGUAUGAAAGCUGGAAAUCAUGCAGCUUAUAGUGUGAGCUUCUCCAAAUUUUUACUUGUUAAGGGUUUUUAGCUUUUAAGUGGACUUAACCAGUAAGUUUCCUAAACUCUGAACUUUGUUCCUGAAUGUACCAGUAAAUCUGGGAUUAAAGGAAAAAUUCUGGUUCUGUUUAAUUUUACGGAAGGCUGUGCUCCUUGUUGUAUAGCUCAGCCUUUACAAACUUUUCUGCUGUCAAAUAUUAGGGAAAGUAGUAGCAAUGCUUUUUGGUUUACCUAUCUUACUUGAUUUUUAGAUCCUAAUUUUACUUCUUAUUCUCUCUAAUAGUGAACAGAAUGAU